rnacentral:rRNA from 1 species
UAAGGAGGUGAAAUUUCUCAGAUAGCUAGGAGGUUAGCUUAGAAGCAGCUAUCCUUUAAAAAGUGCGUAACAGCUUACUAGUUAAGAGAUUUUGCGCCGAAGAUUUCCGGGACUCAAGUUUAGUACCGAAGAUACGACUUGGUAUUUUUAAUACCAGGGGUAGGGAAGCGUUCUUAUUGCACUGAAGCUAAACCGUGAGGUUUGGUGGAGCGAUGAGAAGUGAGAAUGUUGGCAUGAGUAACCACAAUUGAAGUGAGAUUCUUCAACACCGUAAAUCCAAGGUUUCCUUGGCAAUGUAGAUCAACCAAGGGUUAGGCGGGCCUUAGGAGAAGCCGAAAGGUUUAUCUGAUGGACAGCCGGUUAAUAUUCCGGCCCUCUAACAUUUUUCUGAAGGGUGACGCGAUUUAGUAACUUGAGCGGAUUAUUGGAUUUCCGUCGACUAUUUAAGGGGCAACCCAAGAAUAGGAGCGUAGCUUAUCCUCGGAUAAGUUAAGUCAAGUGAGCAAGUCGACAAGAAAAGCCCGCAAGGUUAAAAAUGUUAGAUCCGUACUAAAACCGACACAGGUGGAUGGGCACAAGUGUGCCAAGGUGAACAAGUGAAAGAUCCUGAAGGAACUCGGCAAAAAAGUGAUCGUAACUUAGGAAUAAGAUCCGCCUUUCUUUGCAAAAAGAAAGGCCACAGCAAGCGUUUCUCUAGCGACUGUUUAUCAAAAACACAGGUCCCUGCUAAUUCGUAAGAGGAAGUAUAGGGGCUGAGGCCUGACCAGUGCCGGAGUGUUAAAAGUGGCGGUUGCCUCGCUCUUGUUUCAUAAAACGAUCCUGAGUUCUUUUUAGUAGUUUGAUUAGUUAAGAUAAUAAUAAUUUAAUGUGUCUUUUUAAAAUAGGUAAGACAUAUUGCGAUAUUAAGGAACUCAGAGAUUGUGUUCGUGAAUCGAGAGCGGGGCAGCUGACUGCUCCAAGCCUCCGGUGAACGUCCGCGGUAACUCUGACCGUGUUAAAGUAGCGUAAUCCCUUGUCGGGUAAGUUCCGACCCGCAUGAAAGGCUUAACGACUGGAGAACUGUCUCCAGGAUCUGCUUGGUGAAAUCGCAAUAGAGGCGAGAAUGCCUCUUACCUGUGGCUAGACAAGAAGACCCCAGGAGCUUUACUAUAUCCUGGCAUUGAAUUUUGGUAAUAAUUGCGUAGCGUAGGAGGGAGACUUUGAAGCUAUCUUUUCGGGGAUAGUGGAGUCGCCAAUGAAACACCUCUCUUUUAAUAUCAGGGUUCUAACUUUACUAUCUGAGAAGGGUAGUAGAAGACAGUGCUUGGUUGGUAGUUUAAGUGGGGCGCUUUUCUCCUAAAAAGUAACGGAGAAGUUUAAAGGUUGGCUAGAUCCGGAUGGAAAUCGGAUUGGUCCUGUAAAGGGAUAAGCCAGCUUGACUGCAAGACGGGUAUGUCGCGCAGAUGCGAAAGCAGAACUUAGUGAACCGACCAUGGUUCGUAGGACCGUGGGAGAUCAUCAGACAAAAGUUACCCUGGGGAUAACAGGCUGGUAGUGCCCAAGAGUCCAUAUCAACGGCACUGUUCGGCACCUUAACAUAUCGGGGUGCAUUAACAGCAAUGUUAUUUAAGAAAUUGGCUUAUAACGGUGGACUCCAUAGUGAAAAUCAGCUAUAACAUAAUCAUUAUGGACAAUACCGUGGGAAGUCUAACACAAUUACAAAGAUCAUUGAUUAUCGGUUCGGUUUUAGGUGACGGGGAUAUUAGAAUUAUACCUGGUCACAAAGAUGCUUUUUUAGAAAUAAAACAUUUCCUAAAAGCAAAAGAUUAUGUAGAUUGGAAAUAUUCUGUACUAAAGAAUAUUUGCAAUUCCGAACCUAAGGAAAGAGAAACCAAUAAAGGUAGAAUGGCUUAUUGUUUUUUUACUAAACAAAAUAAAGAAAUUACAGAAAUAUAUAAUCUCUUUUAUCAA